GCCCCCAUCGUCUAGCGGCCCAGGACACCGCUCUUUCAAGGCGGCAGCACGGGUUCGAAUCCCGUUGGGGGCGCCG
rnacentral:tRNA from 1 species